rnacentral:lncRNA from 10 species
ACUUGACAAGCUAAAUAAACUUCAAAUAAAUAAAGGAUGCACGUUUAAAACUGAGUGAAUUGCAGACAAUCAAUUAAAAGGAGGGACAGGAAGUAACCAGAUCUUGGGAGAACACCUGCAAGUUUCAGCCAUAUGCCAAGGGUUGCCAGAAGACAGACAGAAUCAGCAGUUCCAAGUCCUUCCCACCUCUCAGCUGUGAAUAGAAGUGAUAACCCUUCCCACUAAGAAAUGCAAAGAAGCACACGUGCCCCAUAAUCUGAAGACUUAUGGAAACACUGUGAGAUAGAGAUCCCUGAAGAGCCCCCCAUAUAAAGAACUGUAGAGCUGCACUGACCAGUAGGAUGCUCCAUUUUAAAUUGCCUGGAUCAAGAAUGCAGUAGCAGUUAUAUCACUGAUGGGCAGUGAUCCAUCUGCCAGCACAUAUUUUUAUUUCAGUUGACAUUAAAUAAUAUGUCUCUAACAAAUGCUUUAUAUAAAGGGAACAACUCUGAAGUUGGAGGAUUCGCUUCAUAAUGCGUGCAUAUAAAAGACAUUUCAUCAAGAGAUGAAGAAUGCUAAAAAUAUUAAGGUAUCAUUGCAACCUUUUGACAUUUUGAUGAAAUCGAAUCAUCCAAAAACUAUAAUCAGUGCUGCAGAAAGAAAGCCUAAAAUUUGUUUCUAGCAAGCCAACUAUUACUGUUUUUUGUGUUUUUUUUUUCAAUUAAGUAGUGGACUGUGUUUAAUCAUGAGAUAUAGUCGUGUUAUAUUCCAUGUUCUGGGUUAUGUGCAACUUUAUUUGUGAAGGUGUGUUUUGUACCAAAGGCUCUCAUACAUAGAUUAGCCCAUUUACAUAUAAAUAAGUGAAGUCUACACUGUGCCCAAAUGAAUGGUAUUAAAGACAGACUUGCCUAAAAGAAAUGUGCCUUGCUUGAUUAAACAUUCUUUUAUUUUUUAAUCAAAAUGAUAAAUUUGCAAAUUAGCCUUAUAGGUUUUAGCUGAGCUGAACUUGACAAAAAUGUGUUAGUACUUACUACAUGUUUUAAUAUUCUAUCUUAAUUAAAAUUGUAACAUUUAGUUAUACUUUCAACAGUUCAUAUAUAAUAUAUUCAUUUAAUUUUGUUUUCAUGGGAUGUUUGGUGUGGUGAGACAAAGCACAUUCUUAAAGAUAUAUAUAAUAUUUCAUCUAAUGUUUAUAGCUUUUCCUUCAAAAUUAUAUAUGUAAAAGUUUCCUUAACUCAUUUUCUAUUUUUAUAUUCUUUUAGAAAUGGAACUCUUUUUCAAUUAAAAAAAAGUUUUAGUUGGAAAAGAGAUUUAGGAGGUCAUGAAGAUGGCUUCCCAUUUGGGGACAUUUCACUUCUGUGCCAUUAAUGUAUUUACUGUGACAUUUCAGCAGAAUGGUAGCUAUUUGUAUAUUAUUUCAUAAGCCUUAUGGAAAGUCAAACUGUGAAAAUUUAUUAUAUAGAACCCUUUUUUAUUUCCAUAUUUUAGUUUCAAAAUAUACCUGAACAAAUGCAUAAAUAACCAAUCCUCUGUUAUUUAAAUAUAUAACCAUGCUAUGUUAUAAUAAGAGCACUUGUAGAAUUUUAGUAACUAUAAAAAUAUUUCAGUAGCAAAGCCAAGAUUAUAAAUGUUUUGAUCCCCUACAGAAUGGAGUAAAAGUGAUGAAUUGCAUUGUAUGAGAAUCAGUAACUAAAACAAUCUUAUACCUGCAGCGAAACAGAUAGAUAAAUAAGAGAUACAAUCUAGGUAACUUUCUUUGAGGCAAAGUCUACAAUGAAUGUCUCACAAUCUGCUGGUAAUUUCUUUGUGUCAAAAUUUUGAGACUAGAUCACUACAGGAAAAAAUGAAAGUCUAACAGCUAUCUCAGAUUUGAGCUAUGUGAACUUUUAGUCAAGAUGAUUUGUGAUUAAAGUGAAAAUUUAGCCACUG